rnacentral:rRNA from 1 species
UGGGGAACUUUGGACAAUGGGCGAAAGCCUGAUCCAGCAAUGCCGCGUGAGUGAAGAAGGCCUCGGGUUGUAAAGCUCUUUUGUCAGGGAAGAAACGGUGAGAGCUAAUAUCUCUUGCUAAUGACGGUACCUGAAGAAUAAGCACCGGCUAACUACGUGCCAGCAGCCGCGGUAAUACGUAGGGUGCAAGCGUUAAUCGGAAUUACUGGGCGUAAAGCGUGCGCAGGCGGUUUUGUAAGUCUGAUGUGAAAUCCCCGGGCUCAACCUGGGAAUUGCAUUGGAGACUGCAAGGCUAGAAUCUGGCAGAGGGGGGUAGAAUUCCACGUGUAGCAGUGAAAUGCGUAGAUAUGUGGAGGAACACCGAUGGCGAAGGCAGCCCCCUGGGUCAAGAUUGACGCUCAUGCACGAAAGCGUGGGGAGCAAACAGGAUUAGAUACCCUGGUAGUCCACGCCCUAAACGAUGUCUACUAGUUGUCGGGUCUUAAUUGACUUGGUAACGCAGCUAACGCGUGAAGUAGACCGCCUGGGGAGUACGGUCGCAAGAUUAAAACUUAAAUGAUUGNCGGGGUCAUAGCUGUUUCCUG